rnacentral:rRNA from 1 species
UACGAACUGUGCGAACGUUAUUCGGAAUCACUGGGCUUACAGGGUGCGUAGGCGGCUUAGCAAGUCAGGUGUGAAAGCCCCCGGCUCAACCGGGGAACUGCGCUUGAAACUGCUGAGCUCGAGUCAGCUAGAGGUACACGGAACUCCCAGUGGAGCGGCGAAAUGUGUUGAUAUUGGAAGGAACACCGGAGGCGAAAGCGGUGUACUGGGGCUGGUCUGACGCUGAGGCGCGAAGGCGUGGGGAGCGAACGGG